rnacentral:rRNA from 3 species
GGGUUGUGAGGUUAAGCGACUAAGCGUACACGGUGGAUGCCCUGGCAGUCAGAGGCGAUGAAGGGCGUGCUAAUCUGCGAUAAGCGCCGGUAAGGUGAUAUGAACCGUUAUAACCGGCGAUACCCGAAUGGGGAAACCCAGUGUGAUUCGUCACACUAUCAUUAACUGAAUCCAUAGGUUAAUGAGGCGAACCGGGGGAACUGAAACAUCUAAGUACCCCGAGGAAAAGAAAUCAACCGAGAUUCCCCCAGUAGCGGCGAGCGAACGGGGAGGAGCCCAGAGCCUGAAUCAGCAUGUGUGUUAGUGGAAGCGUCUGGAAAGGCGCGCGAUACAGGGUGACAGCCCCGUA